rnacentral:sRNA from 1 species
GCUGGAUGUGGUGGUGCACGCCUAUAAUCCCAGCAGCUCUGGAGGCUGAGUCAGGAGGAUCAUGAGUUCAAAGCUAGCUUCAGCAAUGGUGAGGCGCUAAGCAACUCAGUGAGACCCUGUCUUUA